GUCUAUCACUCGGCCUUUCAAAUAAAUUAAAGUGAAUCUUUAAAAAAAGAAAAAAAAAAAAAGAAACUUAUCCUCAAGAUGUUGGCAAACCUCCAAGUAGACACACUGGGGGAGGGGAGGCGGCUGUGGCGUCUUCCAACGUCCCUCGCCCGCCAGCACAGUCUUUUCCCAUGUCCUGUCUCCUGGGCAUGCUCUGUCUGACCACAAAACUCAAGCCCUGGCUGGAUUUCCACACACAUGUGAGUCACGGCACUGCCCUAGCAAUGGCAAGCCCAUGCAAAUGGAAUUUAGGGUCUCGAUGGGGAGACAGAGCCCCUAAGACAGACAAGUCAACCAACCGCGGCGACGUUCAAGGCUACCCACCUGCAGGGGCCUGCUGCACCAGAAAUGAUGACUGCUCCCCUUCAAGACCCGGCUGCUCCACUUCCGAUCCAGCUCUCUGCUAUGGCCUGGGAAAGCAGCAGAAGAUGGCCCAAGUCCUUGGGCUCCUGAAGAAGCUCUUGGCUCCUGGCUCCUGGCAUUGUAUCGACCCAGCUCUGGCCGUUGUGACCAUUUGGGGAGUGAACCAGAGGACCUUCUCUCUGUCUUUCCCUCUGUCUGUCUGUAACUCUGCCUCUCAAAUAAAUAAAUAA
rnacentral:lncRNA from 1 species